rnacentral:rRNA from 1 species
UACGUAGGGUGCAAGCGUUAAUCGGAAUUACUGGGCGUAAAGGGCGCGUAGGCGGCGCGGUAAGUCACUUGUGAAAUCUCUGAGCUUAACUCAGAACGGCCAAGUGAUACUGCAGUGCUAGAGUGUGGAAGGGGCAAUCGGAAUUCUUGGUGUAGCGGUGAAAUGCGUAGAUAUCAAGAGGAACACCUGAGGUGAAGACGGGUUGCUGGGCCAACACUGACGCUGAUGCGCGAAAGCCAGGGGAGCAAACGGG